UUGGCCCUUAUAGGUGGGGCUACACACGUCAUACAAUGGCCGGUACAGAGGGUAGCCAACCCGCGAGGGGGAGCCAAUCCCACAAAGCCGGUACGUAGUCCGGAUCGCAGUCUGCAACUCGACUGCGUGAAGUCGGAAUCGCUAGUAAUCGCGGAUCAGCAUGUCGCGGUGAAUACGUUCCCGGGUCCUU
rnacentral:rRNA from 1 species